UUGGCCUUGACAUGUCCGGAAUCCUGCAGAGAUGCGGGAGUGCCUUCGGGAAUCGGAACACAGGUGCUGCAUGGCUGUCGUCAGCUCGUGUCGUGAGAUGUUGGGUUAAGUCCCGCAACGAGCGCAACCCUUGUCCUUAGUUGCCAGCGAGUAAUGUCGGGAACUCUAAGGAGACUGCCGGUGACAAACCGGAGGAAGGUGGGGAUGACGUCAAGUCCUCAUGGCCCUUACGGCCAGGGCUACACACGUACUACAAUGGUCGGUACAGAGGGUUGCAAUACCGCGAGGUGGAGCCAAUCCCAGAAAGCCGAUCCCAGUCCGGAUCGAAGUCUGCAACUCGACUUCGUGAAGUCGGAAUCGCUAGUAAUCGCGGAUCAGCUAUGCCGCGGUGAAUACGUUCCCGGGCCUUGUACACACCGCCCGUCACACCAUGGGAGUGAGUUGCUCCAGAAGCCGUUAGUCUAACCGCAAGGGGGACGACGACCACGGAGUGGUUCAUGAAUGGGGUG
rnacentral:rRNA from 1 species